CUGGCUCAGGAUGAACGCUGGCGGCGUGCUUAACACAUGCAAGUCGAACGAAGCUCUUUGAAGGGAGGAUUCGUCUGAACGGAUGAGAUGACUUAGUGGCGGACGGGUGAGUAACGCGUGGGUAACCUGCCGUAUGCAGGGGGACAACAGUUGGAAACGACUGCUAAUACCGCAUAAGCGCACGGGAUUGCAUGAUCCAGUGUGAAAAGAUUUAUCGGCAUACGAUGGACCCGCGUCUGAUUAGCUAGUUGGUGAGGUAACGGCCCACCAAGGCGACGAUCAGUAGCCGGCCUGAGAGGGUGAACGGCCACAUUGGGACUGAGACACGGCCCAAACUCCUACGGGAGGCAGCAGUGGGGAAUAUUGCACAAUGGGGGAAACCCUGAUGCAAGCGACGCCGCGUGAGUGAAGAAGUAUUUCGGUAUGUAAAGCUCUAUCAGCAGGGAAGAAAAUGACGGUACCUGACUAAGAAGCCCCGGCUAACUACGUGCCAGCAGCUGC
rnacentral:rRNA from 1 species